UGCGCUGAGGUUGUGAUCAGUUGUGGAUAAGGUGGAGAGCCUUGACAGGCUGUGGCAGGCUGGAAAGGUGAAAGCAUCUUCCCUUGACUACACAUGCUUAGAAUAGUGAUCAAAUGGAAACCCUUGUAUCUCAUCUCUCUAUAUAUAUGGUAACCUUAUCAUUAAUAAGAUUAUGUAAGUUAUGAGUCUCUCUUAGUCUUUGAAUCUCAAAGUUCUCUCUUUAGACUCUUAAUCUCAUUUCAUACUUUAAUCUUCUCUAAAUCUAUUCUAAUCUUUCCUAAACACUCAGAUUACUCUAAACAUCACUAAAAGUGAUAUGGUAUCAGAGCCAGGUUAGUGGAAACCUGAGGUCGUGUGGGAUUCUUUGAAGUUUCAAGGUUGAAGCUUUGAAGAAACCAGUGUGGGUUCUUGUGUGUUUGAGAGUUUCUGGGUACUUUUCAAGUUCAAGACUGGUUGUGGCGUGUCAUCUGAAGCUGUGAGGGUUGAAGAUCGAGGCUGUGAAGGUUUCUACAAGUCAUUCAACUCAAGAUAAAGUUUCUGAAGCUUAGAGAGUUCAUCAUUCAACAUGGAGAGUGGGAUGAACAUGAACAUGAAGGUGGCUGUGUGUUUCAAGGGAAACAACUACUUGGUGUGGUCUCGGAUGGUGAGAACCACGGUGGGGAGCAAAGGGCUGUGAAGCAUAUCACACCCGGAGAAGCUCCAAAACUCAUCACUCAAGGAGAGGAUGAUGGUGAGGCUGCAAGCAACGCGGCUGAGAAGUGGCAUCAAGAAGACAUGCUGGUGAUGUCAGUGCUUCACGCGUCCCUUAAGCCAGCAAUCUUAGAUGCCUACAGCUACUGUGAGUCUGCUAAGGAGCUGUGGGACACACUGAAGAAGGUGUAUGGGAAUACAUCAAACUUGAGCAGGGUGUUUGAGGUGAAGCAAGCAAUCAACAAGCUGGUACAAAAGGAUAUGGAGUUCACUAAGCACCUAGGGAGAUUCAGAUCACUAUGGUCCGAGAUGGAGAUGUUAAGGCCAAGCACUACAGAUGCAGAUGAGCUCAACAAGAGGAGAGAGCAAGACAAGGUCUUUGGCCUACUCCUCACCCUAAACCCGGCAUACAACGGUCUCAUCCAGCACCUGCUUAGGGAGGACACUCUACCUGACCUUGAGGAUGUGUGUGCACGGAUUCAGAAGGAACAAGGCUCCAUUGGGCUGUUUGGAAAGAAAGGAGACCUUUCUCUUGCAACUCAAGCAACUCAAGAGGAGGGGAGUGAAGCUCCACAAGCAAACAAGGCUGCGCAUGGGAUGUUUGAGGAGAGGAGGUUCAAUGGGAGCUGUGAUCACUGCAAGAAGCAGGCCACAAGAAGAGUCAAUGCUGGAUCCUUCACCCACACCUCAAGCCGGCAAAGUUCAUGAAAGACCGUGAGGCAAGGGCUAAUGCAUCAGAUGGAACGAGUGGAGCUGGUACAACAAAGGAAAGGAGAUAGAUGGGCGUGAAGGAGGUGAUGGGAAGUCUCUUGUAGCCUACACCGGAGCACCAAGCAACCAUGGGAACAAUGAUCAGGAGUAUCUAAGGAGAUCUGAUCUUGAUGCCCUCAUCAAGCUAUUCAAGGAGAAUGGUAACACCUUUGGGUACUCUUUUGGUGCUAGGGCUAUAGAGAACCACGAGGAUCUAACUAGAAUUGAUAGGAUGCAUGAGAGCUUGAUAGACAUGGUAAAUCAAUCUAGGAUUGCAAGCCUUGCUAGAAAUGAUCUUGCAUUCAAACCAUCUAGUAUCCUUGCUCAUAUGGCUAGUAAUCAUAGCAUUAAGCCAUUAGUAGUUGAUUCUGGUGCAUCUCAUCACAUGAUAAGUGAUACUAGCCUGAUUAAAAAUAUUGUACCAAUGAAUGGAAAUGUGAUGAUAGCUAAUGGAGAUAAGAUACCAAUUAGAGGCAUAGGAAGUCUUAAACUGUUUAAUAAGGAAACUAAAGCUUUCUACAUGCCUGAAUUCACUUCAAAUUUGCUAUCUGUUAAGAAGUGUGCCACUGAUCUACAAUGCAAUGUUAUAUUCAGUCCUAAUGAUGUGAAGUUUCAGGAUAUUAAAAGCAGCAAGAUGAUUGGAAAGGGAGUAACUAAAGGAGAACUAUAUUUGCUUGAAGAUCUUGCUCCUGUUUCUAGUUAUAGCUGCUCGUUUACUUCUGUUUCUUGUUCUAGUUUAAGUAAAAAUGCAUUGUGGCAUGCUAGAUUAGGACACCCUCAUAAUAAGGCUUUAAAACUGAUGUUGCCAGGUGUUUCCUUUGAGAAUAAUGAGUGUGAAGCUUGCAUUUUAGGCAAGCAUUGUAGAACUGUCUUUACCAAGUCUACUACUGUUUAUGAAAAGUGUUUUGAUCUUAUUCAUUGAUGUUUGGACUGCACCUUGCUUAUCUAGAGAAAACCAUAAGUAUUAUGUAACUUUCAUUGAUGAAAAAUCCAAAUACACCUGGUUAACCUUAAUUCCAACCAAAGAUAGGGUACUUGAUGCAUUUAAAAACUUUCAAUCCUAUGUAACUAACCAUUACAAUGCCAAGAUAAAGAUUUUCAGGUCAGAUAAUAGAGGAGAGUACACGGGACAAGCAUUCAAGCUACGCCUAUCUCAGCAUGGAAUCCUUCAUCAGACAAGCUGUCCCUAUACACCAUAACAGAAUGGUGUGGCUGAAAGGAAGAACAGACAUUUGAUGGAAGUAGCCAGGUCCAUGAUGUUUCAAUCCAAUGUGCCUAAGAAGUUUUCGAGUGAUGCAGUUGCUACGGCUUGUUAUCUCAUCAACAGGACACCAACUCUGAUCCUUCAAGGACAAUCACCAUUUGAGGUACUGAAUCAGUACAAGCCCUCUCUAGAGCAUAUGAAGAUCUUUGGGUGUUUGUGUUUUGUGAUGGUGCCUGAAGAGAUAAGAAACAAGCUAGAAGCUAAGAGUUGAAAGGCAAUGUUUAUUGGAUACUCAUCAAGUCAGAAAGGAUACAAGUGCUAUGAUUCUAACACAAGGAGAGUGUUAGUAUCUAGAGAAGUGAAGUUUGUUGAAGAAAAAGGAUAUUAUUAGGAGCAGAUUCAAGAAGAUUUGAAGGAUCUUACUUCUGAUAGAGCUGAAACCUUGAGGAUUAUCCUAGAGGGGCUUGGAAUCAACAUGAAUCAAGGACAUCAAGGGGGGAGAAGCACUACUCCAAUACCGGAUCAUCAGACUUCCAAUCUUGAGCAUGAGGGGGGGAAUGAAACAAGAACUCAAAACUGUGAAGACACAAGUAGAGAAGAGAGUUCUGGUUCUCAUGAUCAAGCUGUGGAAUCAAAUGAUCAACAAGAAGAAGCUUAAGAGAGUCAGCUAAGGGAAGAGGUAGCUGAAGCAAGUCAGCUAGGAGAAGAAAGACCUGAAACAAGUGUGCUGCCACAAGAAGAAGAACAAGAGAUGGCGCAAGAAGGGCCAGUGUUGAGAAGAAGUACAAGGCUGAAAAAGGAUCCUUCCAGUUGGGUAAACACAAGAGUGUACUACAAUGCCUAAGCUAUGAAGCAUCCUACUUAGGCCGUGUGUUCAUUUGCUCAAUAUCCAGAAGCACAUUGCGCAUUCAUGGUAAACUUGGAUGAGAAUCACAUUCCAAGAAGCUAUGAAGAGGCAAUGGAAGAUAAGGAGUGGAAGGAAUCAGUAGGAGCUGAGGCAGGAGCUAUGAUAAAGAAUGAUACACGGUAUGAAAGUGAACUACCAAAAGGGAAGAAGGCUGUGUCUAGUAGAUGGAUCUUUACAAUCAAGUACAAGGCUGAUGGGCAGAUUGAGAGGAAGAAGACUAGACUAGUAGCAAGAGGGUUCACUCAGACAUAUGGAGAAGAUUACAUAGAGACAUUUGCACCAGUAGCCAAGCUACACACCAUUAGGAUUGUUUUAAGCUUGGCUGUUAACCUUGGAUGGGAAUUGUGGCAAAUGGACAAAUGAUUAAGAGAGAAUUAUGAGAGAUUAUGAAGAGUUUAGUGUAGAAUCAUGAUUGAGAGUAUGAUAAGAGAUAGAGAGAAACUCAGAACACUAUGUUUAUUAUUAAUGACAAGGGUUACAAUAUAUAGUGAGAGAUCAUUAGGAUUUUCGAAAUCAUAAGGAGAGCUAAGCAUGUGAAGUCAACAAGGUUAGGAUAAGCUUUCUUUAACUCGGCCAAUCAGAGUUCCUACAUGCUUGGAGCAUCUAGGAUCUGGGACAAAGAUGCUCUUGCCUUUCUAGCUGUGCCAGCCUGUAAAGCCGCGCCUCUCUUAUCCUCCAACUGUCUGAUUCAUCAGCCAAAAGCCCCUUCUCUUCCCAUAAGUUACUCGGGUAACUUCUUGUAACCGUGGUCGAGGUUUCACUUGUCUGAAUGUGUACGGACCGUACGGCCUUGUACGGCCUUGUACGGUCAGGCCAAUGCGAACCUCUCCCAUCACCCCAAUGCUUAACAUACUCUCUUCAGUCUUCACCCCUUAGUACUUCCCACUUGUAUGCUCAACUCUUCUCAAUACUUCUCUUCCCAAGAUCUAUGAGUCCCAAUCUAAUGUGAAUGGACUCCAUAGUCUUUUGUCUUGCAGCCUUGGUGAACACAUCAGCCAACUGAUCUUCACUUCUCGUAUAGCAAGGUAGGAUCACUCCGAGCACAAUCAUCUGUCUCACCUUGUGGUAAUCAACCUCAAUGUGCUUGGUUCUCUCAUGGAACACCGAGUUGGAUGCAAUGUGAAUGGCAGCUUGAUUGUCACAAUGCAUUGUCAUUUGAGUAGCUUGAUCAAUCUCCAAGUGCUUCAAGAUGCCUUUGAUCCACACCAACUCGUUUGUAAGCUUCAGCAUGGCUCUAUACUCAGCUUCAGCACUUGAACAUGACACCACCUUCUGCUUCUUGCUCUUCCAAGUCACCAAGUUGCCUCCAAUGAAUGUGCAAUAGCCGGUUGUUGAUCUCCUGUCAGCUCUACCUCCUGCUCAAUCAGCAUCACAAUAGCCCACAACUUAUGUGCUUCCAUUGCACCCCAUCCAUACUCCUUGAUCCGGCGAGCCAUUUAGAUACAUCAGCAGCCUCUCCACCAUACGCCAAUGAUGUUCCUUGGGAAGCUCCAUGUGUUGACUCACCUGAUUCACAGCAAAGCAUAUAUCAGGCCUUGUGAUGGUAAGAUAAAUCAAUUUGCCAACAAGUUUUCUAUAGAGUUUAGGAUCAUGAAAUGGCUUGCUGUCUUCAAUCUCCCCCUCUCUUGGUACUUUGUAGCCAUCCUCCAUGGGCAUCCUUGCUCUCUUGCCUCCAUAAGCACCUGCACUUUUCAAAAGAUCAAGUGUAUACUUCCUUUGGGACAUGAAUAAGCCUUCCUUGGAUCUACAAAUCUCAAUUCCAAGAAAGUAUUUCAUUUCCCCUAAAUCCUUGAUUUCAAACACAGAGUUAAGGUAGUCUUUGGUCUCUUGUAUUCCAACCUUAUCACUUCCAGUAAUGAUAAUGUCGUCAACAUAGACCAAUAGACAGAUGAUACCUGAGGUUGUGUUUAGAGUAAACAAGGUAUCCCUUAUCACUCCCUGUGAUAAUGAUAUCAUCCACAUACAUAAGGAGAGCAACCAUACCUGAGGGUGUUAUGAGUGUAAAGAGAGUGUGAUCCAAUUCUGACUCCUUAAAGCCUCGGCCAUUCAGAGUUGUGCUCAACUUGUUAUACCAAGCUCUUGGUGAUUGCUUCAACCCAUAGAUGGCUUUCUUUAGCCUCAGUACAUUCCCUUUCUUCACUAGAUGUUCCAGACCUGGUGGAGGAUACAUGUAGACUUCAUCCUCAAGCUCUCCUUGUAGAAAUGCAUUCUUUAGAUCCAUUUGCCACAAUCCCCAUCCAAGGUUAACAGCCAAGCUUAAAACAAUCCUAAUGGUGUAUAGCUUGGCUACUGGUGCAAAUGUCUAAAUGUAAUCCUCCUCAUAUGUCUGAGUGAACCCUCUUGCUACUAGUCUAGUCUUCUUCCUCUCAAUCGACCCAUCAGCCUUGUACUUGAUUGUAAAGAUCCAUCUACUAGACACAGCCUUCUUCCCUUUUGGUAGUUCACUUUCAUACCAUGUAUCAUUCUUUAUCAUAGCUCCUGCCUCAGCUCCUACUGAUUCCUUCCACUCCUUAUCCUCCAUUGCCUCUUCAUAGCUUCUUGGAAUGUGAUUCUCAUCCAAGUUUACCAUGAAUGCACAAUGUGCUUCUGGAUAUUGAGCAAAACUCCAUUGUCUCUUCAUAGCUUCUUGGAAUGUGAUUAUCAUCCAAGUUUACCAUGAAUGCGCAAUGUGCUGCUGGAUAUUGAGCAAAUGAACACACGGCCUGAGUAGGAUGCUCUACAGCUUGGGCAUUGUAGUACACUCUUGUGUUUACCCAACUGGAAGGAUCCUUUCUCAGCCUUGUACUUCUUCUCAACACUGGCCCUUCUUGCGCCAUUUCUUGUUCUUCUUCUUGUGGUAGUACACUUGUUUCUUCUUCUCCUAGCUGACUUGCUUCAGCACCCUCUUCCCUUAGCUGACUCUCUUCAGCUUCUUCUUGUUGAUCAUUUGAUUCCACAGCUUGAUCAUGACAAUCAGAACUCUCACGGCUUUGAGUUCUUGUUUCAUUCCCCCCCUCAUGCUCAAGAUUGGAAGUCUGAUGAUCCGGUACUGGAGUAGUGCUUCUCCCACCUUGAUUCAUGUUGAUUCCAAGACCCUCUAGGAUAAUCCUCAAGGUUUCAGCUCUAUCAGAAGUAAGAUCUUUCAAAUCUUCUUGAAUCUGCUCCUCAUAGUAUCCUUUUUCUUCAACAAACUUCACUUCUCUAGAUACUAACACUCUCUUUGUGUUAGGAUCAUAGGACUUGUAUCCUUUCUGACUUGAUGAAUAUCCAAUAAACAUUGCCUUUGAACUCUUAGCUUCUAGCUUGUUUCUUAUCUCUCCAGGCACCAUCACAAAACACAAACAUCCAAAGAUCGUCAUAUGCUCUAGAGAGGGCUUGUACUGAUUCAGUACCUCAAAUGGUGAUUGUCCUUGAAGAAUCAGAGUUGGUGUCCUGUUGAUGACAUAACAAGCCGUAGCAACUGCAUCACUCCAAAACUUCUUAGGCACGUUGGAUUGAAACAUCAUUGACCUCGCUACUUCCAUCAAAUGCCUGUUCUUCCUCUCAGCCACACCAUUCUGUUGUGGGGUAUAGGGACAGCUUGUCUGAUGAAGGAUUCCAUGCUGAGAUAGGUGUAGCUUGAAUGCUUGUCCCGUAUACUCUCCUCCAUUAUCUGACCUGAAUAUCUUUAUCUUGGCAUUGUAAUGGUUAGUCACAUAGGAUUGAAAGUUUUUAAAUGCAUCAAGUACCCUAUCUUUGGUUGGGAUUAAGAUUAACCAGGUGUAUUUGGUUUUUUCAUCAAUGAAAGUUACAUAAUACUUAUGGUUUUCUCUAGAUAGGCAAGGUGCAGUCCAAAUAUCAGAAUGAAUGAGAUCAAAACACUUUUCAUAAACAGUAGUAGACUUGGUAAUGACAGUUCUACAAUGCUUGCCUAAAAUGCAAGCUUCACACUCAUUAUUCUCAAAGGAAACACCUGGCAACAUCAGUUUUAAAGCCUUAUUAUGAGGGUGUCCUAAUCUAGCAUGCCACAAUGCAUUUUUAUUCAACAAAGAAGCAGAAGUAAACGAGCAACUAUAAUCAGGAACAGAAGUGAGUUCUUCAAGCAUAUAGAGAUCUCCCUUAGUCACCGUUAAACUAGAACCAGAAACAGAAGUAAAUGAGCAGCUAUAUCUAGAAACAGGAGUGAGAUCUUCAAGUAAAUAUAGCUCUCCUUUAGUCACUCCCUUUCCAAUCAUCUUGCUGCUUUUAAUAUCCUGAAACUUCACAUCAUUAGGACUUAAUAUAACAUUGCAUUGCAAAUCAGUAGCACACUUCUUAACAGAUAACAAGUUUGAAGUAAAUUCAGGCAUAUAAAAAGCUUUAGUUUCCUUAUCAAACAGUUUAAGACUUCCUAUUCCUCUAAUAGGAAUCUUAUCUCCAUUAGCAAUCAUCACAUUUCCAUUCAUCGGUACAAUGUUUUUAAUCAAGUUAGUGUCACUUAUCAUAUGAUGAGAUGCACCUGAAUCAAUCACUAAUGGCUUAAUGUCAUGAGAACUAGCAAUAUGUGUGAGAUUUGAGAGCUCUGGCUGUGUAUGUGUAUGAAAAGCCAUUAAAGGCAAAGAUAAGGUCUUGAACUAGUUGAAUAAGAGGUCGGAUGAAACUAGUAUGAACUUGAAUCAGAAACAAAGAGACUUUGAGAGAUUAAAAGAUUAGAGACUAAGAAAGGGGUAGAUUAAGGGAAUCUGAUCAAGAACACACUUUUAUAAUUAUGAAGGAGAUGGGGAAACCCCCGAUACUCUCUUAAGAGAUUACAAAACGUCCCUGCCUCUUAUUUAAAUAGGACAGACUGCUUUCUACUAGGGUUUACAAUCAGAUACAUCACACAUGUGAAGUCAAACAAGGAGGAGCCUUAUUUUGAAUUCUAUGGACCAUAAGCUUCACAUGCUUGGCCAAUAGGAAGCUUGGGCGUGUCUGGUCUUUACACAGGCUGUCAUGAGCUGUCUUGUGGACUGAAUAAGCCAAUAGGAGUGAAGACCUUAUCCAUAAACGGACAGAAGCAAGAGCAUCUCGCCUGAUCCUUUCCUAGACCAUCCAAGAUGCCAUUUUGAUCCCUUCUUCAUGUAUAAGGUCCAAAUGAGUUUCUCCAUGCCUUGUGACCCAAGACAAGACCAGACCAUGCUGUACGGACUUCCUGGCCGUACAAAUUGUGCCCUAAGCUUGUACAUUCCUCAACUAUGCUCAAAUGGUCGAGAUGAUAAGUUUUGGGUCGCCCUGGUCCGUACGGUCCGUACAGUCGGUACAACCGUCCGUACGGGUCGCCCUAACUUCCUCUCAUCAACCAUUUCACCCUAAACUCCUCCAAUGUCCUCCCAAGUCUGAUUAGAACCCUUCUUGGACAUUGUCCCAACUUUGUAUAAGCUUCUCAUCACUUCUGAAGCUUCAUAGAACUCUUCUUAAGAUCUUCAAGAGCUUGCCCUAUUUAUGCACAAGCUCCAUUCUUCUCUUCAGUUCAACACCCCCCCUCAAGCUUGAAACCUUAGACAAUUCUCAGAACAAAUUAAAAACUCAACCAAUGAUUUAAAACAGAUCAAAACUAAUCAGAACAGAACUGAUAAAUCGCAAACCUAACAGAUCAGAUUGAUUUCAAAACAGAACAGAGAGAUUUUGAUUUCAGGUUCAGUUUCAAGUCUAGUACAUCAAGUUUAAUCAAAACAGAGUAUAUCAAGACAGAAACAAUUCGAAAUUUCAGAAACAGAAACAGAAACAGAUUGAUCAAGUAAAUCAGAAAACUUUCUCAGCAAGGUAUAUGAAGAGUUUUAAACACAAAAACGAAAUCAGAUAACCUUAAUCUAUCAGAUUUUGACAGCCACAACACAGAUCUAUCAGUUUCUAGCAUGAAUAUGAAGAGGCAAAUCAAAAAUCAUAGAGAAAGAUGAACACUUCCCUUCCAGAGUUGCUCUGAUACCACUUAAUGAGAUCUUAGGAUGAUGCUCUGGAACAGAUGGGAUAAUCCUUGCAGAAACGAAUCAAAAGACUCAAGCUUCUCAAGGUAUGUGGAUCGAAUGGUGACACAAGAGGCUGCGGAAAGGCUCCUUGAUACUCCUAGGCAAUAGAUCGGAUAUGACACACCAAACUAGAGCCCUUAGUCUCUGGAUAUUACACACCAGAAGUUGGAUAUUACACACCAACACUCAAUCAACUCGACAAGCAAGAAGAAAAGAGAAAACAAAGGUUUUUGAUAAAAAGAUGGAUACUGAUACAAAGGGGCCACGACCAGAAUAUAAAGGAGAUGUUGAGAUGAGGAGUAGAUAUGGAGUGUUGAAGUUACUUGGGUGAAGAAGGUUACCACAGUAAAUAUUAGCUACUGUGGUAAAAAGGGUAAAGAGGGAGUUACCUUAGUGAAAGAAGUUACAUGAGUGUGAAAUGGGUAAAAGGAAACUUACCAGGAAGAGAGGAGUGUGCGCUGAGGUUGUGACCGUUUAUGGAUAAGGUGGAGAGCCUUGACAGGCUGGCUAAGACAGACUGGAAAGGUGAAAGCAUCUCAGUCCAAGAUGCCUUAUGCCUCACACGCAUCCCUUCCCGGAUUGGCUCAGUUUGAAAUGAGGAGCAUCUUCCCUUGACUACACAUGCUUAGAAUAGUGAUCAAAUGGAAACCCUUGUAUCUCAUCUCUCUAUAUAUAUUGUAACCUCAUCAUUAAUAAAAUUAAGCAAGUUAUGAGUCUCUGUUUUAGUCUUUGAAUCUCAAAGUUCUCUCUUUAGACUCUUAAUUUCAUUUCAUACUUUAAUCUUCUCUAAAUCUAUUCUAAUCUUUACUAAACACUCAGAUUACUCUAAACAUCCCUAAAAGUGAUAGGAGAAGCCUUGUACAUGCACAAGGUCUCGAAAAUACAAGGAAAAUAAAGACAAGGCUCCCUUGGAAACACAACAAAGACUAGAGUUUUCGAAAAUAAAAACAUAACAUAAAAACUUAGAUAAAAUUAUAUAACAUAAGGUCUUCAUGUGGACAGACCAAGAUCAAUCAUCUAGGAGGUAAGAGAAGUAACUUGUGGCCUCAUUAAAAACCUUGAUUGGAAAACCCAGUGGGACAAAACCAAUCAAGGGAAAAAGAGUACACACAAGCUACUUGCCUAGAUGAUGAUCAGCUUGAGUGUAGAGUAGCUUGAAUGUAGAUCAAGUUGUCUCUGAUGAUAGAAGCUUUAUUUCGGCUCAAACAUUCUUCAAGUGUAGGUUCUUCCAUAGCUACAAGCUCUCCAUGAUCAGGUUCAUGAUUCCAUUCCUUGGUGCUUUCCAUGAUCACAUCACUUCAAAAUUCCGUAUUUAUCCGCGGAAACUUGACAUUUAUCUUUCCUUGCGCACCAAGCGUAAACCGUCCCAUGGUUUACGGACUUUUGGUUAAGAAAUCGUAAGUUGGGCCUCGAGUCGUGUCUUAGGUCCCUUUGGGCUGUCUUCCGACUCGAAACGUUUAUUAUGAUUUCUUUCGAUAAAGAACAAACUUUCCGCGGUUUUUACCGCGAAGUUUGAUUGAUGACUUAGAAUGGCGGAAAGCAUGAACUGAGUUCGCUACGGUCUUCGGGAGAUAGCAUCGAAGGAUAGAUUAGAAUGCAUGGACUAGUGUCAAAUCGACGUUUUGGAAGAGUUUGGUCGCUACGUAGCGACCGAGCUUGGCUCGAGCUUGGUCGCUACGUAGCGACCGAGCGGGACGGACGCUCAGUCGCUAUGUAGCGACCGAGCAGUGUGCAUACUUGGUCGCUGCGUAGCGAUUGUGCUUGGCUUGUCCUUGGUCCGAUUGCCAUACUCGAGCUCGUCCGUGGCUGGUUUUAGAUACGUGUCCAUUGACUUGGGACAGGCGGUAUUUGAUUCAAUCAAGAUUUGAAGACGAUUUUACCGCGAGAUUCUUCGUAAGGAUUUCUUUACGAAGAUUACUUUUCGUAAAAACGUUCAAGUCCAAUUUUUACGGACUUUCAGACAUUGAUUCCGUCGUGACCGAUUUUGACCCCAACAGUUAGCCCCCAGCUCGUUAGAACCAUGAGCUUCUAGCGUGAGGUUCUAGCAAGUGGCUUGGCAAGUUAGGCAAGUUAGGUGAGUUAGGCGGAAUUAAUUGUUGAAAAGGUCCGUGGUAAGUGGUCUUCUUGCUCUUCUAAAAGUAGAAUGCAAUAAGAUUGGGGCUGCGCCUUAUGACGGCUGCCUACGUACCCUUGUUGAAGGGAUCAAGCCUUUCGUAGUUCGUGUUGGAGUUAAGGUUUUUAUGACUAGUUUUCCAGUGAGACCUUUGUGGUCAAGUUUUUAUGUAGCGGUUAUAAGGCGUGUUUCUGCCGAUGGCAUUUUGUAUGGGUGUAGAAGGAAGACUACGAGUUUUCAUCUCGUAAUCUAACUAUGUGUGAAAAACUAUAUCCGUAAUCUGUUUUGACAGUUUUCCGCAGUGUGUAAACUUGCGGGAUUUCUGAAGAUUCUCGAAUAUUGGCAAAGAGACAAAUUUUGGGAUCUCGUAUCAGGGUGUUUGAUACUAUUCCUAGAGAUGUUAAAGACCAGUGCGCUGGGUUUAGGGCAAGACCUAGGUUUACUCCUGGUUUUAUAGGGUGCGAUGACUAAUUCGACUUAUGUAUCCCAUUUCAGUUUCAUCCUGAUUCCAUACGAUUUAAAGUCCGCGAUAGGAUCUCGGCUUAUAUGACUUGUAUGGUUGGAACCGAGCAUCUCUCCAAGGACAAUUUUUAAGCCUCUUGGAAGUGCUGACCAAAAAUUUUGGGUUUCUUUUAUAGCACUAUUAUCGUUGUGACGGAUGUACGAGAGUCAUAUCUACGAGAUGACUAAGUCUGUUUAGGACGUUAAGAGUUUGUUAUGAUCAGAAACAAACUUAAUGGUUAAAAUUACCAUUUUGAGUCUUCGCGAAGAAUAUUUUUUGAGAAGAUGUUAGUGCGUAUGACUGUCUGGUCUUCCAUGAAGGUGUUUUUAUCGAAGAAGGAAAUUUCGUCGAAGAACUAAUCUUCAGGCGUCUGCGACGUCUCGCGAUGCCGAAGAUUUGUUAUUCUUUCGUAUGCCACGUUUCGUGCUUGAAAUGUUCGCGGGCUUGAAGAUAUUUCGCGAUGUUGCAAGGGUUUAGUCUUAGCCCUGCGUUUGAGAAACAUUCUGGUUUGACUACGAAUGUUCGCAGCCAAAAUUGUUGUUCCCGUUUGGAUGCUAAUAGUUUUAUUUGCGAUCGAGGAAUUAUGACUGAGGUGUCGUGUAAAUUUGUCCAUGGGAACAAGCGUUUUUCUUCAGAGUGCUUUGUGAAGUGUUGGCCUUCCGAGAUCUAUUUCGUGUAUUUUUUAGGAUGUUUCGUAUAGCUCUACAAGCUUUGUUACGAAUUUUUCCUUACAUGCCGCGUAUUAUGGUUAAAACGUUGCGGGCUUAAAGGGAAUUGUGGAGCGUAUUGAACUUGGUCAAUUUUCGAAAAGUUUAGAUUUUCCUUUAACCGUUUGGUUGUUAGGACUUAGUUUCGUUACGAAGAAUUUAUCAUAUGAUUUCCGACUGUGGGCUAUACGAUAAUUUAUCAUAUCAUAUAAUCGGUUUUACGAAGGUUGUAAAUCAGUGAUAUGUAUACAUAUGUCAAAGUAGCGUUGUUUCUGCGGGUUUUACGAGAAACGUUUCUGUUGUGAUUUUGAUCUUCGGCAAAAGUUGUUUGGAGUUACUCAUGAAGUGUUACCAAAGUUUAUUUCAAUACGAUCUAGUCGCAUAACAUUUUUCAUAGGUUUUUUGAGAGGAUUCUCAUGACACAUUUGUUUCUUGAACGAAUUGGUCAACCAGAGGUGGAUCUAGCUAACCAUCGGGAGGAAAGUGCUCCUUUUAAUGUUCAUGAUGCUACAUCUAUUCUCGAGUUUUCUUCCUCGUAAAUGUUUUCGAUGCUUUUCCGUGACUUGCUUGGUUCAACGGAAACUGAAAGAAAUGCUUUGGUGAUUUUCUCGUAGAAAUUUUUAAACGAAACUGGCUUUCUAAAGCCGGAAAGGGCUUCAAUACUUUGGCUAAUCGUCGAGUUUCAGUUUGAUAUUGGGACAGGUUUUCUGUACGCAUGAUUGCGACAAGAAAUGAUGUAUAGUCUUUGAGAUUUAUGUUCAUGAUCGUCUGGGUAUGUUGCUAGCGUUUAGACGAAUAUUAGAUUGUCGUUUGCUUAUUCUUGACGAUUUGCAGAAGUUUUUGAAAUUUGGGAGUAUACGAGUAUAGUAUACGUACCUACUCCCCCUUUUUUUCUACUAAAGAAAACGGUUGAACCGAUACUUUGAAGGGUUGUGUACGUUUCUUCUUCUGAGGUUUGGAAUGAUCGAUAAUUCAGGACGAUUUAUAGACGACGCUUGGACUGUGAUUUGGUUGUUUCCACGUUGACGACUUGGAAUAUGUCGGUUCCGAGAAAAUUGCCAGAAACGAAUCGGUUUUAAGACGACGUUCAUGUCUCUAGUUUUUUCUCUCUUUAGGAAGCGAGCUUGAUAUGCGUGGCGAUCGUUUCCCGAUUUUCGGAGAGUUUAGAUCGGUAUGCAAGAUCUGGAUGAACAAUUAUGGAACAUUAUAUCGAGACAGGAAAAAUCGCUUAAGACUUAGUUCGCUAGACUAUCCCGCCUAGGUUUUACGUUCCCUAAAGUUCUAUGGCAGCCUCAAAGUAAUUUCCUACGAAAAUUUCAAGUCUGAUUUCAAAAAUUUCAAGUCGGAAAUACCUUAGUUCUCUCGAAGAUGCAGUUUUGUCUCUUCUCAGUUUUGCUUGAUCAUUUCCCUUUCCCCUUCUCGUGUAUGUUCGCCAUUUCUGAUAUUGGUGUUUAUCCUUUGAAACUUGAUAUUUAUCUACGGAACUUGACUGUUAUCUUCUCCUUAGAUACGACGUCAAUUUUUUAAAAAGGUUCAACAAAAUCGUAUAGUUAAGGCGGCUAAGGAGUUAAGUUAACCGUUGCCGUUUUAUAAGAUUAAUCUGAAUCCAUGCGAAAAAACAAGUCUUUGCGGUUUUUUUUUUUUUUUUUGUCGUAAAGUUUCAACGGUAACUCCGAUCGAAACAAGAGGCGUUUCGAUCGAGAUUUCAAGGAGAACAUAAAGCUGCUGGAGGUAAGAGCGAGUAGGAGCAAGCGAAGGAGUUUAGACGAGCCUUACUUGUUUUUGUCGUAAAAUCUCGACGAAAAUUCCGAUUGAGACGAAACGAAAAACGUUUUGAUCGGGAUUCAAAAGAGAACACAAAUGAGGAAAUUUUUUAGGCCUGAUAGGUCGCAAUGUAGCGAUCUGGGGUCUGACAGGUCGCUACGUAGCGAGUGGAAGCAAGCCAAGAAGAGUCCUACUUGUUUAUCGUAAAAUCUCAAGGGAAACUCCGAUGGAGACGAAACGAAAAGCGUUUCGAUGAGGAUUCAAAAGAGAACCCAAAGGAGGACCUUUCUGAGGCCUUACAGGUCGCUACGUAGCGAGUGAAGGUCUGACAGGUCGCUUCGUAGCGAGUGGAAGCAAGCCAAGAAGAGUCCUACUUGUUUUCGUCGUAAGAUCUCAACGGAAACUCCGAUUGAGACGAAACGAAAAGCGUUUUGAUGAGGAUUCAAAAGAGAACCCAAAGGAGGACCUUUAUGAGGCCUUACAGGUCGAUACAUAGCGAGUAAAGGUCUGACAGGUCGCUACGUAGCGAGUGGAAGCAAGCCAAGAAGAGUCCUACUUGUUUUCAUCGUAAAAUCUCAACGGAAACUCCGAUUAAGACGAAACGAAAAGCGUUUCGAUGAGGAUUCAAAAGAGAACCAAAAGGAGGACAUUUCUGAGGCCUGACAGGUCGCUAUAUAGCGAGUGAAGGUCUGACAGGUCGCUACGUAGUGAGUGGAAGCGAGCCAAGAAGAGUCCUACUUGUUUUCGUCGUAAAAUCUCUACGGAAACUCCGAUUGAGACGAAACGAAAAGCGCUUCGAUGAGGAUUCAAAAGAGAACCCAAAGGAGGACCUUUCUGAGGCCUUACCGGUCGCUACGUAGCGAGUGAAGGUCUGACAGGUCGCUACAUAGCGAGUGAAAGCGAGCCAAGAAGAGUCCUACUUGUUUUCGUCGUAAAAUCUCAACGGAAACUCUGAUUCAGACGAAACGAAAAGCGUUUCGAUGAGGAUUCAAAAGAGAACCCAAAGAAGGACCUUUCUGAGGCCUUACCGGUAGCUACAUAGCGAGUGAAGGUCUGACAGGUCGCUAUGUAGCGAGUGGAAGCGAGCCAAGAAAAGUCCUACUUGUUUUCGUCGUAAAAUCUCAACGAAAACUCCGAUUGAGACGAAACGAAAAGCGUUUCGAUGAGGAUUCAAAAGAGAACCCAAAGUAGGACCUUUCUGAGGCCUUACAGGUUGCUACGUAGCGAGUGGAGAGUUGGCUUGAGCUCGGUCGUUACGUAGCGACCGAGCAGUGUGCGUGCUCGGUCGCUACGUAGCGACCGAGCUGUGUAAUUGUUUUGUUGUGUUUCCUUUUUCCGCGAAUAACCUAGGGGUUUUCAGCGGUUUUUGGGAGAACAAGUUUUACCCUUCCGAAAUGUUUUCUGAAAACGUGUUUUGGUAAAACCCUUGCGCAUCGAGAUUUCUUUUGUUCGGUAAUGAGCCAAACUUACAGGGUUUGAUAAGAUUUAUCGUUUCCCUUUAUGUUCAGAAAGAGAAAUCGCGAGCUCGUUUCAUUGCACUUCCAGUGGCGAAAAGUCGCAGCAAGGUUUUCGAUUUUCUCAAGAACUGUGGUGUUUGCGUAGGCGUUGGCCAUAGGCGCAGUGGCGGCUGGAAUUGUCUUACCAGCGUUAUUGCAAACUGCGAUUUUGUCUUUCGUAUUUCCAGACAUUGUUUUGAUCAAGCGUUUUGUGGCUGAGAGUUAGAUUGUUCCGUACCCCCCCCCCUCCUUCUAGCGCCAAACUGUGGGAACCAAAAUUUGCACUGUCGAUUUCUGUUUAAAUUAGAAAAUCGGGAAAACCCUAAUUUCCCAGAGGUCCCGGAUAUCUGCUAAUACCACACGCUAAGCAAUCAGAACACGAGAUAAUAACGACAAAGUAUAAAAAUCGUAAAAAGAGAGCAAAAAGAAGUCUUAUUCCGAAUUUGCGUAUGAGCGUUUACAAUAAGGUAUAAGCCUGGGCUCGAGAGCUUUCGGCGAGAUUUCCUAGUUCUAGUAACCCUAAGACGGCUAAACCUAAUUGAGUCGCAGCUCGAAAUAACAAAAACGGAAAGUUGCCUAAUUGCUCUAAGUGCUAAGUUUGCUCUUGAAAAAGUUCUCCUCUCAUGCCUCUCGCCUAGGACUCCUAUGUACUCGCUACUAGGUCGGUUUACGCUUUUACUCUUCUGCCCUUAAGCCGUCAUAGCAUAAAAUGGAGAUAUUCCAUUUUUUCCGAUCUUCGUAAUUAUCUUCAAAAUUCUGUAUUUAUCCGCGGAAACUUGACAUUUAUCUUUCCUUGCGCACCAAGCGUAAACCGUCCCAUGGUUUACGGACUUUUGGUUAAGAAAUCGUAAGUUGGGCCUCGAGUCGUGUCUUAGGUCCUUUUGGGCCGUCUUCCGACUCGAAACGUUUAUUAUGAUUUCUUUCGAUAAAGAACGAACUUCCGCAGUUUUUACCGUGAAGUUUGAUUGAUGACUUAGAAUGGUGGAAAACAUGAACUGAGUUCGCUACGGUCUUCGGGAGAUAGCAUCGAAGGAUAGACGAGAAUGCAUGGACUAGUGUCGAAUCAACGUUUCGGAAGAGUUUGGUCGCUUGGUAGCGACCGAGCGGGACGGAUGCUCGGUCGCUACGUAGCGACCGAGCUUGGCCGAGCUUUGUCGCUACGUAGCAACCGAGCAGUGUGCAUGCUUGUCGCUGCGUAGCGAUCGUUCUUGGCUUGUCUGUGGUCCGAUUGCCAUACUCGAGCUCGUCGGCUGGUUUUAGAUACGUGUGCGUUGCCUUGGGACAGCCGAUAUUUGAUUCAACAAGAUUUGAAGAUGAUUUUACCGCGAGAUUCGUCGUAAAAACGUUCAAGUCCGAUUUUUACGGACUUUCAGACAUUGAUUCCGUCGUGACCGAUUUUGACCCCAACAAUCGAUAUACAUAUUGGAUAAUCGAUCGACGGAGUGAAAGGUGUAUCGAUCGAUAUCCCUAUAGGAUAAUCAAUCGCUAUUGAUCGAACACAUUUGUUUGGGUCAUUAGAUCUAGUUAAUUGAUAAGUCCAGAAACGCGAGAGCUGAUUGACUUGUUGCUUAGUAGUUGAGCUCUACAUUAUCAAGCAUGAAAUUCAUUAGGCAUCUGUAGGAUUAUAAUUCCAAGUUCCCUGAAUAAAAACCCUAAGUCUAGCUAUUUUCUUUUAAGCACCAAAAUCUCAACCAAUCAAUCGAGCAAUUACUUUCUCAACAAAACUACAAAUUUACAUUUUAAUCAUUAAACCAUCCAAUUUAACAAAACCCAUUAGAUUUAUUAGGUUCCUUAGCUCCUUGUGGAUUUGAUCCUUAAGUACUGCAAUUGAACCUCUUAUUUGAGAGAGUAAAUUCACUCUUUAGGGUAAUUUGAGUGAGAUCAGCUGCCGCGUUUGCGUUGAUCGUGGUAGUUGCAUGACCGACGUCUUCUACCAGGUUAGUCUCCUCCGGUUGGGUCGAAGUGCUGGGCUCUGAAACUGGUUGUUUCUCGGCCGUUGCUCCGUUCCGGAGUCCAUGUGUUACCCAUCGUCCGGCCUUGCUCCGAUCCGGAGUUGAUGGCAGUUAUGUGCUCCCUGGAUCUCUUCUUCCCCGCGAUGGACGUUUUUGUUGUUUCGAGGGAUUUUCUUUUUGACUUAUGAUUCGACCCAAGAUCCAUUGACGACGUCUUCAUCAGCUUCUACUUUUGUGAGAAGACCUUUUUCUCCUCCUUCAUGAUUAUGCAGUCCAUGGCUUUAUGGAGCGCAUCCUGGAUCGUACGUGGCUUCUCCAAAGUUAUCCACUUCCUGAACUUCGACUUGUACCAGAGCGUUUUUCGGGGCGCGUCUAUGGCAACUUUGUCGCUUAUUCCGCUGACUCUAUCCAUAACGGUUUUGAACCAUUUUAUGAAAUCACAGAGAAACUUGUCCUCCCCCUGGGAUAGGCUCCAGAGGUCGACGUCGGAGGUUUCUCGAUCAAUGAACAUAGAGUACUGCUUGAGAAACUCCAAGGCGAGUUGACGAAAACUUCCGAUGGAAUUUUGCCUCAAGCGAGAGAACCACUCAAGUGCUGCUCCUCGGAGGUUCUCGAGGAAGAGGCGGCAUUCACCGGCUUCUCUUUCGCUUUCUCUAAAAUUGGCUCUCCCCAUCGCGAUCUCGAAAGACUGCAAGUGUGCCCUAGGAUCGGUUGUACCGUCGUAAGGUGUCAUUUUGAUGUUUCCGGGAUCCGAAACCCUAGUUUCGGUGAUGCGAGUAGUUAAGGGCGUUUUUUAGCCUCUUCGAGCAGUAGAUCGAUCUCAGGUGUGGUGCUAGUAGCGUGAUAGAUCUUAGAUUUUACCGCUCUAACUUCUUCUACCGUUUUCAUGAGAUGAUCGCGGAGUUUGCGAAUCUCGGAUUUUUUUGCUAGCAGAUUUCUGACCUAUUCGGCGUUUGCCGCAAGUGUUCCGAGUAUGCUCAUCGGUUAAUUCUUCAUUUGGUCCCAAAAGACGACUUCUUCUUCUUUGGUCAUAGGGUUGUCGAACUGGCAAUCGUCCCGAGCCGCACUGCUCCUUGUGCGACGUGGAUUUACGUCUGCAUCUUCGUCUGUAGGCUCGGACUGACUGCUAGAAUCCACACCAAUGGGUUUGACUUCUCCUUCUUAUUUUUCUUCCUCGAUAGGGGGAAGAUCUCUCGGGUUUUUCCGUGUUGGCGGGAGUGAUUUCAUCGGGAUUUUUUCCAGACAGUUUCCCCUGUGCGUUGCCGGACCAGUCCAAAGGAGUUGCGAAAUCGAGUCUUGUUCCGCGGAUUCGGGUUGUUCCACGCAGAAGAAAGGCCCUGGUUCAUGCUGUUAGGGUUUCGACCUGUUUAGCGAGAGAACUGAUGACCUUUGCAUGUUCUGCUGACUUCUUUUCGAAAGUCGAGAGUAUCUUCUUCGAGGUAUUUGCAUUAUCGUUAACCAUGGUAACGUUUGUGAUUGGAGUAUUUUCAACAUUUUUGUCGGCGGCGUUGCCGUCACGAGUUUGUUGGUAGUUGAGAUCGUCAGUAGACAUGUUUGAUCGAGCGUUGGUGGCUUAGAGUUAGAUUGAUCCGUAUCCCCCCUCCCUCUAGCGCCAAAUUGUGGGAACUGAAAUUUGCACUGUCGAUUUCCGUUUAGAUAAAAAAAAUUAGGAAAACCCUAAUUUCCCAGAGGUCACAGAUAUCUUCUAAACCACACGCCAAAGCAAUCAGAAACAAGAAAAUAUAGACAAAAAAUAUGAGAAUUGAAACGAAAGCAAAAGGUGUCUUAUUCUGAAUAUGCGUAUGAGCGUUACAACAAGAUAAUAUCCUUGGCUACGCUGUUGGCGAGAUCCCUAGUUCUAACAACCUAAGACUACAAAAACCUAGUUGAGUCGCCGCUCGAUAACAAAAAUGAAAAGUUGCCUAUUGCUUUAAUUGCAAGUUUGCCCUGGGUAGAAAUUUUUGUGUCUUUCUGCAUCUUCAACCUCGACGUCCUUAUAUACUCGUCCUAGAGGCGGUUUGCUCUUUCCCUUUCUGCCCUUGGUCGAUGUUAUCGCUUCGCGGAAAAUUUUCAUUUUUCUUCGAUCUUCGUGUUUAUCUUUUGAAACUUCACGUUUAUCCUCCAAACAUGAUAUUUAUCUUCUCCUGCAGAAUAAAAGAUAAACUGUCCUAACGCUUGGGUUUGAUUCGUAUAAAAUCGUGAGUGGGCUUUUAGCCACGUUCUGGACCCUUACGGGCUAUUUUUUUACUUAAGCGUUUUUACGAUUUAUCAAAAGAGCGCUUCCGAAACGACAACGUCGAUUCCGAAGAAAGUUCUAAUUUCUCGUAUAGUGGAGGCAGUUCGCGGCGUUUAGUUAACCGUUGCCUUUUUAUACAAUCAAUUCGAACUUCAUACAAGAAUAUGAGUUCUUGCGGUUUGUAAAUUAUAAAGUUCCAAUGGUGACUCUAAUCGAGCUGAAACAAGAGCAAGUUUGGUCCGAUCUCAAAAGAGAGAGCUACGAGGACGGGAUGAAGACAUAUAGUUGAUUCAACUCGCCGAACGGGAGAGUUAGACUGCUUGUUCGGUCCAACUCGCCCAUUUGGUGAGUUGGACGGUGCGUUCGGUCCAACUCGCCACUUCCGCGAGUUGGACAAUAGUGCCUUAUAGUUGUUUCGUUGUUUGGGAUUCGUUUGUGUGAGGCCUAGAGUAACCUUUCUGGAAGACUUAUCGUGUGAAUCCUUUUCGAAGUUGUUACGAAACUCGAUUUAGGUUUUUCCGCUUUUCUUUUCUUUUGAAAUUUAUCUCUCCUUUUCAAAAAGAACAUUUCUCGGGAGCUUCAUAACAUUUGACACCAACACGCAACAAGUGAGCUUCAUAACAUUUGAAGUAACCAUUCGGAAGAGNNNNNNNNNNNNNNNNNNNNNNNNNNNNNNNNNNNNNNNNNNNNNNNNNNNNCAUUCGGAAGAGCGUCAGUGUGUUCCCCAGCCCGUGGAAGUCGAAACUCCGCCGAGUCUGGAACACGGCAGAAGAGUCGAACGAUUUCGAGGUACGAAGGAUGGCUAUAGCUCAGACAGCCAGAGACUCUAUCUUUAUUUUUCUUAGGAGCAGGCCACGAAUCAGUUGGGGGAAUCACCUGGCCGCACAUAAUCAUCCAUUACACGUCUGCUUCUUUAGGAUCAACCGAAUGCGCCACGAACUCGGUCUUUAUGACGGUUUGGCCAUAUGAGGUUUCAAGACUCUUAGGAUCGAAGCAGGAAGGAAAAAUGUGGUCUGAAGCUCUCUGGUUUUGAGACAUAAUAGCAAAAAAAAAAAACAAAGGGAAAGGAGGAUUUUUCUAGGAAAGGAAAAUCUACUAUUCAACCGUGGACUUUCGGCCAUUAAUCCCGCCUAACUUUCCUAAUCUACCUAACCGCACGCAAGAAACGAGCUCGAAACUUGCGAGUUCGGGGGCUAAUUGUUGGGGUCAAAAUCGGUAACGACAAAAUCAAUGUCGGAAAGUUUUCAAGAAACCUUUCUAAAACGAAAACUAAAACUUCAUAUUAUUAAGACUAUUACCCAACAAGGGACCAUUUAAACCGUCUAACAAACAAUUCCUGAGCAUCGGAACUACCAAACCAGCAUCGCCUAGUCCUUCGGAGAAGUUGGACUAGCCAAGGACAACUCGCCGUUGGCGAGUUGGACCGACCGAUCUAAGUCGUUGUUGGGUUAGUAGCACGAACCAUGUCUAACUCGCCCAAGGGAAGUUGGAUCAAACAAUCCAACUCACCGUUUGGCGAGUUGGAUCAGCUACUCGAAAAAAAGGAUAUGAGAUUAUCGCUUGUCCAGCUUUGCCUUCGCCGAGCUGGAUCAAUCGAGAACCAUGCAUUCUCAUUUUCGGAAAUCCCCCCUUCGGGUCUCGGUUGGACUGUCCCUUGUUUCAUCUCGAUCGAAGUUACCGUUGAGACUUUACGGAAAAAACGACAGAAGUUUUUUUUCUCGUAUAAGUUCGGAUCGAUCGUAUAAAGACGAUAACGGUUAAACUUGAUACCAUGGUUUUCUUGAAUAUACGAUUGAUUCGGACUAUCUCGUAAAGCCGGCAUCAUACCGAAGAUUGCUUUUCCGAAAAGAUAAUUGUAAAAAACGUUUUCGUCGAAAAACGGCCCAAAGGGUCUAAAACCCGGAAAAAGCCCACUUACGAUUUUUAACAAAAAUCGGUCCAAAGUUGCUAUGACGGUUUAUCGAAUGUUCGCGAGAAAAAUAAUGUCAAUUUUCAAAGGAUAAUCAUGAAGAUCAGGAAAAAUGAAAUAUUUCCGCAAAAGGAUAAACUCGACCCAGAAGCGAAAAAGGAAGGUCCAAACCGACUUUGUAGGAGUAUAUAAGGGAUGCGAAGGCGAGAGGUGCAAAAGAGAGAACUCUACAUUCACAGCAAACUUAGGACUUAGAACAUUUUAGGCAAUUUUCCGUUUUUGUUAUCGAACUGCGGCUCACCUAGGUUUUCAAGUCUUAGGUGGUUAGAACUAGGAUCUCACCAACAGCUCUUGCAGCCGAGGCUUUACCUGUUGUAAACGCUUAUACGCAAAUUCAGAAUAAGAUCUUCUUUGCUUUCUUUUCGAUUCAUCAAUUUUAUACUUAGCUUGUUUUUCGUGGUCUGAUUGCUUUGCGUGUGGAUUAGCUGAUAUCCAUAACCUCUGGGAAAAUUAGGGUUUCCUAUCUUUUCUCAUUUAACAAAAAUCGACGGUGCGAAUUUCGGUUCCUACACGAUUAUUCCUAUCUUUUCUCAUAUAACAAAAAUCGACGCUGCGAAUUUCGGUUCCUACACGACUAAAGGAAGCAUUAUACAAAACACUCAUCCUCUGACUGAAACCUGAAGUGUAAAAAUCGUUUCAUACCACAUCGGUGGCAUGUCACCCUCAACAAAAGUUUUUUGACCCUUGACCAAUUGCGCCUUCCCUAAAAGCCCAAACCGGAAUGUGACAUCUCCUUUAAAGAAAAUUCUAAACAUGCAUGUCCUUAAUGCUAACACGAAAUCGGCAUGGUCUAAUUCUCGACCUACAACGUCCCCAGCUAUGCGGCUGGAUGUGGAACCGAAAUUCGCACUGUCGAUUUCCGUUUAAAUAAGGAAACUAGGAAAACCCUAAUUUCCCAGAGAACCCGAAUCUCUGCGAGAGCCAACGACAAGUAACCAAACAAAUGCGGAAAAUAUGAGAAAACAUGAUAAAACGAAUUUACAAAGAAAGUAUAUCUUAUUUCGAAUUCGCGUAAGAGCGUUGCGAUCAUUACAAGAGAAUACAAAGGCUUUGGCCGCAGGGGCCGUCAGCGAGUUACCUAGUUCUAGCAACAUAAAACCCUAAUCCUAGUUGAGUCGCAGCUCGAUAACAAAGGACGAAAUAGAUAUAGAAAAGGUUUUUGAUUGAUUUCGGACUGAACCUUGUUAAAGGCUGCCUACGUACCCCUUUCGAGGAUCAAGCCGAACGUAGUUCAAUUGAUAGAGCUGGACAAGAGAUCGAAUUUCCUGGGCGAGUUCGUCUAGUAAUUGAGUGCCAGUCAUAGAAACCGAACUUGUCGAGAAUAAGCCUAAAGUUUCUAAGUGCAGAGAAUUCCGAAUCUAAAAAGUUCUCUUUAUGCUCCUCGCCUAGGACUCCUUAUAUACUAGCUCCAAGGUCGGUUUACGCUUUUACUCUUCUGCCCUUAAGCCGUCAUAGCGUAAAAAUGGAGAUAUUCCAUUUUUCCCGAUAUUCACAAUUAUCUUCAAAACUUCCGUAUUUAUCCGCGGAAACUUGACAUUUAUCCUUCCUUGUGGACCAAGCGUAAACCGGGCUGUGGUUUACGGGUUUUUGGUUAAGAAAUCGCAGGAUGGGCCUCGAGUCGUGUUUUAGGUCCCUUUGGGCCGUCUUCCGACUCGAAGAGUUUACUACGAUUUCUUUCGACAAAGAAAGAACUUUCCGCGGUUUCUAAUCCGCGAAGUUUGAUCGAUGAUUUAGAAUAGCGGAAAACAUAGACUGAGCUCGCUACGGUCUUCGGGAGAUAGCAUUUGAAGGUUUGACGAGAAUGCAUGGACUGGUGUCGUCACGACGUUUCGAAAGAGCUCGGUCGCUACGCAGCGACCGAACUUUGGCUCGAGCCCGGUCGCUACAUAGCGACCGAGCGAGACGGACGCUCGGUCGCUACGUAGCGACCGAGCUUGGCUCGGGCUCGGUCGCUACGUAGCGACCGAGCGGGACGAGAGCUCGUUCGCUACGUAGCGACCGAGCUUUGGCUCGAGCUCGGUCGCUACGUAGCGACCGAGCGGGACGAGCGCUCGAUCGCUACAUAGCGACCAAGCUUUGGCUCGAGCUCGGUCGCUACGUAGCGACCAAGCGGGACGAUUGCUCGAUCGCUACGUAGCGACCAAGCGGGACGAUCGCUCGGUCGCUACAUGCUCGGUCGCUACGUAGCAACCGAGCGAGACGGACGCUCGGUCGCUACAUAGCGACCGAGCUUGGCUCGAGCUCGGUCGCUAUGUAGCGCCCGAGCUGUGUGCAUGCUUGGUCGCCGCGUAUCGAUCGAGCUUGGCUUGUCCGCGGUCUGAUUUCCAUACUCAAGCUUGUCCGCGGCCGAUUUGGAUACAUGUCCGUUGCCUUCGGACAAUCGGUAUUUAGUGGUUCGUUUGAGAUUUGGACGAGGUUUUUACUGCAAGGCUCUUCGCAAAGAUAUCUUUACGAAGAUUACUUUUCGUAAAAACGUUUAUGCUGAUUUUGACGGACUUUCAGACAUUGAUUCCGUCGUGACCGAUUUUGACCCCAACACUGGACACAGCCUUCACGUCAAGCCAAAAAAAUUUGAACAACCAACACUCCAUCCAAUCACUCAACGGCAAUCUGCAAUUCCUCAAAUAAACACCGAGUGAUGACUACACAAAAAAUUAUCGUAUAACCCAAAACGGAAGUCAUACGAUAAAGUCUUCAUAACAAGACUCAUUAACAACCAAACGAUUAACAAAAGAUAUUAACUUCUGGUCAAUUGACCAAGUUUCACAUGCUGUACAAAGCAUUUCAAGUCUGCAACGUUUCACCUAGAAACACAGAAAACUGAGGAAACGCUAGUAACAGCUCCUGGAGCUAUACGAAACAGCCUCCCUAAAAAUACAUGAAAUAAAUCUCGGAAGGCCAAUCCUUCACUAAACACAAUGAAGGAAAACACUUCUUCCAUGGGACAAAUUUAUGCAACCCCUUGGUCCUACUUCCUGGAUCACAAAUCGAACAAUUUAAAGUCCAAACAUAAACAACAGCUUUGGCCGCAAAACAUCCGCAAACAAACCAAAACGUUUCUCGGCUGCAAGGUCAAAACAAAACCUUUACGCCACCAAAAAAACCCGCAAAUGUUUCGACCAAAAAUGCAGCAUACGAAAGAUGCUUCGAUUAAUUUUCUAUACAAACAAACCUUGGCUGCGAAACCUCCGCAAAAAAAAAUGAAGUAUUUCCCGGCCACAAGGUCGAACAAGACCUUAACGCCAAACGCAGAAACUUUUCUAACACGUUCUCAUAACGGAAAUAUUUGCUCGAAAGAAAACAACAGGCUUUAGUACCGUGAGAUGUCGCAAACACUUGAAGAACUGGCUUUUGACAUAAAACAUCAUCCUUGAUGAAAAUUCCAUCUCGGAAACUCGAAAAGUCAUACCCAUUAACAUCUAUCAAAAACACACCCUCCACGAAGGUUCAAACUCGAGCGGUAAGCUCACUAACACUUACCACUAUGUUUGUUGCUGAUCACAACAAACACUAACACCCUAAGAAAAAUUAGCCAUCUCUCUCCAUAGAGAUAUGCUCUCUCUCAAUAGAGAUAUGCUCUCAAACAUCUGACAUAAGGAUAAUAGCGCGCUAUAAAAAAAUCUAAAAUUUUGGUCAGUAUCCUCCAUAGACUUUUCUCGUGGUCCGAUAUUUGUCUUUGGAGAGUUGCUCGAUUCCCGAUUGAUGCACGCAACAUAAGCCGAGAACUUUUUGCAAACUUCAAAAUUGAUUCAAAAUCAGGUCGAAACUGCAACAGGUGAUUUAAGCCGAGACAGUCAUCUCAAACCCUAAACCGAUAGUAGGCCUAGGUCUUGCCAUAAACCCAUAACAUUGCCCUCAAACAUCUCAUGGCAUAGUAUCAAAGAACCCGACAAAAUUCCAAAACAUGUCCAUUGACAAACGGCAUUGUAUGUUUAUGAGGCGUUGCAAACGGAAACGCCUUCAAAUACUCUCAUCAACAAAUAUCACGAUCCGCUAAGCGUCAGAAAUGAGAUGACAACUCAUAUUCUUUCUCUAUAUCUCUAUGUAUAGCUGCACUAUCGUUUUUAAAAAGAGAUGAACUAUGAUUUUAUAAAUCCAAAAUAAACAGCCUAUAAGGCCAACUCUUACAUUCAUGAAAUUCUUCUAGAUUGAUAGUAAAGGAUGAUCAUUACGUCGUUGAGAACACCACCUUACAAUUUGUUCUGAACGCUUUUUUUUUGAGCAACUUUGUUCUGAACGCUAUCUCUAAGAUAUUUAAGGGUUUGUGUAUCUCACUGUCCAAAUCAAAGCUUUACAUUCUACGUGUAAGGGUGAGAAAUUUCGAGAAAUAUUCAUGUACUGUAGCUUAUUUAUUAGAGAAAAUUAUUAGAAUGUUAUAGAAAAGUUGGUUUAUUACUAGAAUGUUAUACAUCUUUUGAAAAUUACUAGAGUGUUUUGAUACCCCUAGUAAAUGACAAUAAGGACUUUUGGUUAGUUUUUUUUAAUUGAAAUUAUUUUUAAACAAUAAAUCCACAUCACUAAUUAAGUAUCCACAUAAUCAAUAGAGAACAAUCAACCAUCUCUUUAAUUACAUAACGUUUAAAAAAAACACAAUAACACAGCACAACUCCGUCGAAGAACUAAAGGAACCCUAACCACAUCUUCUCUGAAAUCGUCAUCGACAUUGUGUUUACUGCCUCUUCCUCGAACUAACUCUCUGUCUUGUCUUCUCCGAUAUCUUCUUCUCCGAAAUCGUUGUCUCCAAUCGUUUUUACGAAAUAUUUUUCGCUGCAAUUGCCCGAAAUCCUCUUCUCUGCUGCGUUUUUUGAGUUUGUGGCUGAGUUUUAAUUUAUGUUGUGGCUGAGUUACUUUUCUUUUACGGCUGGUUUAUAUAUGCAGUUGUGGCUGAGUUACUUCUCGCUAAUUUCCAGAAACCUUGUUAUAAGAAGUGUGCAUUCCGAGGAGAAAAGACAAAUACAUUCCAAAAACACCCAGAUCGGUAAUUGUGGGAUGUAUUUAAUUAAGUUUGUUUGUGAUUUCAUACCCAUAUAUGGAUAAUCUAAUUUUUUUUUUCAGAUCUGAGUGAAAGAGAAAUUUGAACAAAAAGAAAAUAAAUGAGACAAAAAGAAGUGACGGAUUCAGUAGAGACGACACAGAGGAGUUCAUUGAAGCUUGGAUACAUGGAUGAAUACAAGAAUGGUGCAGAAAACAUGUAUUUUUGGUUUUCUAUGUAAAAAACAUAACUAGUUCGCCCUAGCCAUCAACCUCCAAGACACAACUCCCGAGACAGCUCAGAUCUAUGGCUUCCGAUGCCAGCGGCGUGUUUCCUCGCCGGCGUCGGGACUCCUCGUCGGCUCUCCUUGUCUACAUCACCUAUUUUAUUUGUUCACAAUCCGUUUCUGAGUUUGCUUUUGUCUUUUCUGCAAUCGCUACCUCGUCUCUCCGGUGACGCGGACGUCUCCGCCUCUGCUUGAGGAGGUUCUCUUUGAGCCCAACGAACCUACUUUCUUCUCUGGGACUUAUCAGAAUCUUGGCUCAAGUAAGCUUUCCUCUCUAUGUGAUACAUACUCCCUCCAGCGAUAGCUCCACCUUGGCUUCCCGAGCGCUCCUUACUCCAGAUCUGCUAGCCACGGCCAUCCUGUAUCCAUUACGAUGAAGCUCUCCAUCAGAAUUCCCCACCCGCUGCAAGCAACUCUCCCUUCGUUAAAGCUCGUAGACAGAGCUUUGAGUGGGAUCGACGAGAUCCGUUCUUCAAACGCCAAACCCGACUCAUCUUCGAACUGCUGCACCGGAGUCUAUGACCUCUCCGACGAGACUCGCGCCUCACCAUCGCCACCUCGUGAUACCCUCUGUCUCUCAGCCGUCGACAUCUACUCCGGUGAUAAUGGGGUCUGAGAUACCUGUCUCCCUCUGCGUGCCAUAGCCCCUAGACCCGCUCUCACACAAAUGAUUGGCCUGGAACAAAGUUGGACUUCUAAAGGCCCAUCUUCUAAAUCUUCCAAGCCUACUCACACAUCAUGGCCUAGGUGCAAAUGUCAACCAGUUCCGGAAGCAGUACAGAGGUAUACCCUUGGUCCUCUUACCGGCUCUCACUUGAUGGUCAAACCUUCUCCGACGCCGCAAGCCACCACCACAUCCCUCCUUGCAGUCGUGACGUUCUUCACUCUUCAGCAGGAGAUGGUUUCCACUAUCUCCGGGGAAUCUUUUGCGUCCGGUCCGCGACUGUUUUUCGUCACACUUCAUCAACUCAGCAACACCGAUACAACUAUGAUCUAUGUCACCUCCUCCCAGUCAUGCCCCGCUGAGACUCUACAGGGCUCAGACCAUUCUUUGAGCUUUAGUUUGUUUGCAGAAUCUUUCAUUGUGAAGUUUUCGAUUAAAGCGACGACCCCUC
rnacentral:lncRNA from 1 species